rnacentral:sRNA from 1 species
CGGACGUUCAUAUUGUGACAUCUAA